UCAGUAGUUUACUACAGAAAAUGACUGAGCGGCGAACGGGUGAGUAACGCGUGAGCAAUCUACCUUAGUUACAGGGAUAGCCCGAGGAAACUCGGAUUAAUACCUGAUAUUCUUUAUAUUUCGCAUGAAAUUAAAAGGAAAGGUCAGCCGAACUAAGAUGAGCUCGCGUUCUAUCAGCUAGUUGGUGAGGUAAAAGCUCACCAAGGCUACGACGGAUAGCUGGUCUGAGAGGACGAUCAGCCACACUGGGACUGAGACACGGCCCAGACUCCUACGGGAGGCUGCAGCAGGGAAUAUUGCGCAAUGAGCGAAAGCUUGACGCAGCGACACCGCGUGUGGGAUGACGGAUCUAGGUUUGUAAACCACUUUCAGGAGGGAAGAAAAUGACGGUACCUCCACAAGAAGCCCCGGCCAACUACGUGCCAGCAGCCGCGGUAAUACGUAGGGGGCGAGCGUUGUCCGGAUUUAUUGGGCGUAAAGAGCUCGUAGGCGGUUCAACAAGUCGGUCGUGAAAGUUCAGGGCUCAACCCUGAAAUGUCGAUCGAUACUGUUGUGACUAGGAUACGGUAGAGGUGAGUGGAAUUCCGAGUGUAGCGGUGAAAUGCGUAGAUAUUCGGAGGAACACCAAUUGCGAAGGCAGCUCACUGGG
rnacentral:rRNA from 1 species